rnacentral:rRNA from 1 species
CUACGGGCUGCAGCAGUGGGGAAUAUUGGACAAUGGGCGCAAGCCUGAUCCAGCAAUACCGCGUGUGUGAAGAAGGCCUGCGGGUUGUAAAGCACUUUCAAUUGUGAAGAAAAGCGAGAGGUUAAUAGCCUUUUGUCUUGACGUUAACUUUAGAAGAAGCACCGGCUAACUCUGUGCCAGCAGCCGCGGUAAUACAGAGGGUGCGAGCGUUAAUCGGAAUUACUGGGCGUAAAGCGUGCGUAGGCGGUUUAGUAAGUCAGAUGUGAAAGCCCUGGGCUCAACCUGGGAACUGCAUUUGAAACUGCUGAACUAGAGUGUGGUAGAGGGAAGUGGAAUUCCGGGUGUAGCGGUGAUAUGCGUAGAUAUCCGGAGGAACACCAGUGGCGAAGGCGACUUCCUGGACCAACACUGACGCUGAGGUACGAAAGCGUGGGUAGCAAACAGGAUUAGAUACCCGUGUAGUC